rnacentral:rRNA from 1 species
UGCGCAGGCGGCAUGCUUAGUCAGAGGUGAAAGAUCGGAGCUCAACUCCGAAACUGCCCCUGAUACUGGCAAGCUUGAAUUAGGUUGAGGUCAGCGGAAUGUGACAUGUAGCGGUGAAAUGCUUAGAUAUGUCAUAGAACACCAAUUGCGAAGGCAGCUGACUAGGCCUACAUUGACGCUCAGGCACGAAAGCGUGGGGAGCAAACAGGAUUAGAUACCCUGGUAGUCC